CAAGCUCUUUGNMGGGCAACCGGCACAKUUCUACACCCUUUGUGAACCAAAAAAACUUACUGCUUCSGUAGCAGGCUGGCCUUAACCCGUCAGUUGUAAGCCUGCCGGUGGCAACCAUACAAAUCCAUUGAACUAAUCAUGAACUGKCUGAAUUAAAUUUUCSAAUGAAAAUUAAAACUUUCAACAACGGAUCUCUUGGUUCUCGCAUCSAUGAAGAACGCAGCGAAACGCGAUAGUUAAUGKGAAUUGCAGAAUUCAGUGAAUCAUCSAGUCUUUGAACGCACAUUGCGCCCAUUGGUAUUCCGAUGGGCAUGUCUGUUUGAGCGUCAUUACAAAUCUCAUUUCUUUGGUUUGUUCUGAACGAAAUGGUCUUGGGUUGAGGGUGUUAUAAAACGCAACCUCACCUUAAAACUGCACGCUCUGCGGGUUGCUUUGCCUGAACGAACAUGGUAAUUAAACUUCUGUUCCUGACCGGUGAAGAGUUAACUCGCCUGAAUAAAAACCAAAUUUUUAAUGGUUUGACCUCAGAUCAGACAAGGAUACCCGCUGAACUUAAGCAUAUCAAUAAGCGGAGGAAAAGAAACCAACAGGGAUUGCCUCAGUAACGGCGAGUGAAGCGGCAAAAGCUCAAAUUUGAAAUCUGGAUCCUUUGGAUUCCGAGUUGUAAUUUGAAGAGGUGGCUUCGGUUGUAGCUCCGGUCUAAGUUCCUUGGAACAGGACGUCGUAGAGGGUGAGAAUCCCGUACACGGCUGGCGGCUUACUUCCAUGUGUAGCUCCUUCGAAGAGUCGAGUUGUUUGGGAAUGCAGCUCUAAAUGGGUGGUAAAUUUCAUCUAAAGCUAAAUAUUGGCGAGAGACCGAUAGCGCACAAGUAGAGUGAUCGAAAGAUGAAAAGCACUUUGAAAAGAGAGUUAAACAGUACGUGAAAUUGUUGAAAGGGAAGCGCUUGCAAUCAGACUUGCUUGCGGUUGAUCAACGUUCCUUUUGGUUCGUGCACUCUGCCGUUUGCAGGCCAGCAUCGGUUGGAGCGGUGGGACAAAGACUUCAGGAAUGUGGCUCUCUUCGGGGAGUGUUAUAGCCUGUUGUGUAAUGCCACCUGUUCCGAUCGAGGUCCGCGCUUUUGCUAGGAUGUUGGCUUAAUGAUUGUAAGCGACCCGUCUUGAA
rnacentral:rRNA from 1 species